rnacentral:rRNA from 1 species
GACGAACGCUGGCGGCGUGCUUAACACAUGCAAGUCGAACGGAAGGGCCCUGCUUUUGUGGGGUGCUCGAGUGGCGAACGGGUGAGUAACACGUGAGUAACCUGCCCUUGACUUUGGGAUAACUUCAGGAAACUGGGGCUAAUACCGGAUAGGAGCUCCUGCUGCAUGGUGGGGGUUGGAAAGUUUCGGCGGUUGGGGAUGGACUCGCGGCUUAUCAGCUUGUUGGUGGGGUAGUGGCUUACCAAGGCUUUGACGGGUAGCCGGCCUGAGAGGGUGACCGGCUACAUUGGGACUGAGAUACGGCCCAGACUCCUACGGGAGGCAGCAGUGGGGAAUAUUGCACAAUGGGCGGAAGCCUGAUGCAGCAACGCCGCGUGCGGGAUGACGGCCUUCGGGUUGUAAACCGCUUUCGCCUGUGACGAAGCGUGAGUGACGGUAAUGGGUAAAGAAGCACCGGCUAACUACGUG